GCCUGGUGUGGUGGCGGGCACCUGUAAUCCCAGCUACUUGGGAGGCUGAGGCAGGAGAAUUGCUUGAACCUGGGAGGUGGAGGUUGCAGUGAGCCAAGAUUGCGCCACUGCACUCCAGCCUGGGUGACAGAGCAAGACUCUGUCUCAA
rnacentral:SRP_RNA from 1 species